GAGAGAGAGAGAGAGAGAGAGCAAUGUGCUAGUCGUGCGUUCUUACGGACGUUAAUUCUGUCCUGAGGGGGAGUUGCUGACUGUGCCCAUAAUGCCCAGCUGCCCUGAGGUAAUGGGGCCUUUGUAUUAGAGCUUUGAGGGACUGUGAGACUUGGUGCAUGCAGACUGCAGCUUACUGUCUGACACUGCUGACUGAACAAGGAAGAACCCGGUGUGGAGAGGUUACGUUGGAGGUUUGCGAUGCAGAGUUUGGCCGGCCAUUGACCGUCCUCUCUGCGCGGAAGAGACCCGCGUGUGGCCAUGUCCUCGGGAGCAGAGCUGAUAUCCGUGUGCGAGUGGCUGACCGUGCUGAGGCUGGAGCAGUACUCUCCCGCCCUGCAGGGAGCCGGCUUCGCCACGCUGUCCGAGUGCCGCAGGCUUACCCCCGCUGACCUCCAGCAGGCGGGCGUGGUCCUGCCCGGCCACCAGAAGCGUAUCCUGGCCAGCCUGCAGAAGACCUUCUCAGAGGAGCCGGCCCCGGACCGGCCCGUCCCCAGGGAGAGGGCCGGGGGUCUCCCUUCCUCCUGCUCGGACAGCUUCAAGGUCGAUGGGGGCCCGGGGCCCACGCAGUCCGGCGGCCCCGAACCCUGCCCUGCCGGCACUCAGGACAAGCCCCCUCCCCCUAUCCCUCCCAGGGCCAGCCUAAACUGCCCCCCUGUCAAAUUCACCCCGGUGCCUGUGCCCCGGCCACGCCCGGAGACCCUGUCGGUCCGCCCCCAGGAGCAGCAGCAGCAGGGCGGCAGGAAGCCGACCCCUACCUCCCUGACCCCGUCCACGUCUUCCUCCUCUUCAUCAUCCUCCUCUUCAGAGCCGGUGCCUCUCAAUGAGCAGAGCCCUGUCAGGAUGGGGGUACCCGUGCUGCCACCCAAGUGUCAUCCCGGGGGGGCCCCCAAAGAGCCCCGCGGCCCACCCCCCCUGCCCCGACGGCCCCCUAUCCCCGCUCCCAGAGUGUUGCCAUCUGAGACUGCACCACAACCCAGCGUCGCUCCAGUGCGUGAGCCUCCAGUGCGUGAGUCUCCAGUGCGUGAGUCUCCGGUGCGUGAGUCUCCGGUGCGUGAGUCUCCAGUGCAUGAGUCUCCAGACCGAGUCCCCGACUUGCCGCCCCGGAGUACACCAGCGAGCCAGCCCAGCGCCGCGCCCCGCCAGUCCAAGAGGAUCAUCCACCGACCGCCCCCGGAGUUCAGAUCGGGCUCCACCAACAGCUCCGAGGGCUAUGAGGAGCCAGAACCAUUCUUCAGCCCAGUGUUUGAGCCUGUAGACAUGGCGGACAAGGACGGUUUUCUGCAUGUGCCGAGGGGGGUGCAGAAACGUUUCAACAGCGUCUGCAGCGAUGACGAGCUCCUGGAUGAUGACGGCGAUGCGGCCUAUGAACCCAUACCCGUCAACAGGGGGUCCUGGAUGGAUGGUGGAAUUAUCAAGGGCCAGGAUAGCGUCUACCUUCCCUUAGUGGGGAGGGUCCCAUCCCAGGGUCACAUUGCCCAAGAUGACCUCACACCUCAGCACACCCCUGUCAUCAAAAUGGGCUGGCUGGACAAGAACCCGCCUCAGGGGUCCCUGAUCUACCAGAAGCGCUGGGUAAAACUGGACGCAGAUUACCUGAGAUACUUUGACAGUGAGAAGGAUGUCUACUCCAAGCGGUUCAUACCAACAUCCUCAAUCACCAGCAUCACCAACAUUGGUGACCAGAAAUUUGAGGUGGUGACGCAUAACAGGACUUUUCUCUUCCGGGCAGAGAGUGAUGCGGACAGGAACGAGUGGGUGUCGGUCCUCCAGGAGGCCACGGGGGAGCGCCGUAUGGCCAGCGAUCCGUCCGCCCAUCCUGGGGCCGCAGAGAUGCAGGGGUACCUGGAGUUGCGCGGCCUGCGCCCCAAGCUCUUCGUGGUCGUCAGCAGAGACAAGGUCUACCUGUACAAGAACACAGAGGACUACAGACUGGGCAUCGGCAUUACGUCCAUCGACAUGAACGUGGGCAACGUGAAGGACGCAGACAAGAGGGGCUUCGACCUCACCACUCCUUACAGGAUAUUCAGCUUUAUUGCGGAGUCGGACCAGCAGAAGGAGGAGUGGGUGGAGGCGAUGAGGAACUCGAUUGGGGAGGCCCUGUCCAACUAUGAGGUGGCCAAGAAGAUUUGGUCUGAGGAGUCCAAUGAGUUCUGUGCUGACUGUGGCACUGCCCAACCUGAGUGGGCUGCCAUUAACCUAUGUGUGGUGUUCUGCAAGCGCUGUGCAGGGCAGCAUCGUGGUCUUGGACCCAGCAUCUCCAAAGUCCGGAGUCUAAAAAUGGACCGGAAAGUAUGGACAGAAGAGCUCAUACAGGUGUUCCAGUUGCUAGGAAACGAGCAAGCAAACCAUUUCUGGGCGGCAAACGUUCCUCCAAGUGAGGCCUUGUCUCCGUCAAGCUGCAGUGAAGACCGUCAGCGGUUCAUCACUGCAAAGUACCGUGAGGGAAAGUACCGCCGCUACCACCAGCUCUUUGGCAACCAACAGGAGCUUGACAGCGCCCUGUGCAUCAACAUCCAGACCAACGAUGUGCUGGAAACUCUGUCCCUUGUGUUCUGUGGAGCCAAUGUGAACUGUCACACAGGGAACCCAGAAUUCCCCAGUCCCAUAGCCCUGGCCCAGAGCUACAACCAGCAGCUGCAAGUGGAGUUUCUGAGCCAGAACCGGAACACCGAGAUUCCAAGGUCAGAGGUUGGAGGUCACAUGGACACAGUGCCCUAUAUGGCCCCGCCCUCCAUCACAAACAAUGGCUUUCUCUUCAAAACCGCCUCCAUGGGACGACCAAUCACGGAGCGGAAGGGCAAAGAAGAGUUCAGUCGGCGGUGGUGUACUUUGAAUGAUGGGAACUUUAACUAUUAUGAGAGCGACAAGAACUCCACCCCCAAUGGAGGUCUGAAGAUGAAGGAAAUUGUCUGCCUCGCGGUCAAUCCUCCAGAGAAACACGGGUAUGAUCACACGUUUGAGAUCUACACUGACUCUGAGCGACUGUACCUGUUUGGAACAGACAACCCAGACACCAUGAGGGAGUGGGUGAAAUCCAUUACCAAGUCGUUCAUCCCAGCCAACGCUGAGGACCUGCUGAACCGGGACUUUGAGCGGGUGGGCCGGCUGCGGUACAAGGACGGGCUGAAUCUGCAGAGCCCGCGGGUGGGCUGGUUUGCCCUGGUGGGCUCCACGCUGCACGCCUGCUUCGAGGACAGCGAGGCGGAGGAGGCCAUUCACCUGCGCAAGCUGCAUGAGCUCUCAAAACACAUCCAACAGGAAAAUGAAGUACUUGUUUUGGUAGAAAGAGGAAGGACCUUGUACAUUGAGGGUGAGCGAAAGCUGGACUUCCUGGGCUGGUCGGCAGCCAUCGAGCGUGCGGCUGGGAGCUCGGGAGACACGCUGUCCCAGCAGCAGUUGACAGAGUCGGACGUUCCCGUCAUAGUGGACCGCUGCAUCGACUACAUCACACAGUGCGGCCUGACAUCUGAAGGGAUCUACCGGAAGAGUGGCGUGAACUCCAAGAUCGCCGCCCUGCUGGAGAACUUCCGUCAGGACGCGCGUAGCAUGAGGCUCAGGGAAGGGGAACACCAGGUGGACGACGUAUCGAAUGUGCUGAAGCGCUUCUUCAGAGAUGUGGAGGAGGGCAUUUUCACCUCCCAGGCCACGCCCCUCUGGCUCAAAACAACAGCUCUCGGGGAGGAGAGCAAGAAGAUAGCACAGUACCAGUUCCUGUUCAGUAGCCUGCCCAGGGUCAACAAGUCCACUCUACGAACCCUUGUUAAUCACCUCUACUGUGUCCAGCGGUUUGCGGACAUGAACCAGAUGAACCUGCACAACCUGGCCAUCGUUUUUGGCCCCACCCUCUUCCAGACAGAUGGCAAGGACUACAAUGCUGGCCGAGUCAUCGAAGAGCUGAUCGAACACUAUGUGGCCAUCUUUAAUGUGAAUGAACAGCAGUUGAAAACGCAGCUGGAUGAGAUUACAUUCAUCAUUAGGGUGCGGGAGAACCAGAACCCCAAAGUCCCGUCCACCAGCUCAGGAGACUUCAUUUGUACUGUGUACCUGGAGGAGAAGAGGGAAACAGCUGAGCAGCAUGUGAAGAUCCCUGCUACCAUGACUGCAGCAGAGCUCGCCUUCGAGAUUCUGGACCGACGGAAAAUCUCCUUCCGAGAGAAAGAUUACUGGUGCUGCUUCGAGGUGAACGAGAAGGAAGAAACGGAACGCCCCCUGCACUACCAGGAAAAGGUCCUGCCGAUCCUUCACUCGCUGGGCACAGACAGCUACCUGGUGGUGAGGAAGCACUUCUCCAUGGAGGCCAUGCUCGUAUAUCUGGCCAGCAAAGUGGACGUCUCCAAGCAUGGCAUGAUGAAGUUCCGUGAAGGCAGGAACCUGCUUGGCCUGGGCCUCAACACCGGCAGCUUCCACGACCGCUACUUCAUCCUCACCAGCACCUCCCUCAGGCUCUACAAGGAAGUGCGGAGUCUUCAAAAGCUGCAGACUCCUGAGCUACUGUGUAGCAACAGGCCAGAGAAGGAGUGGCCAGUCAAGUGCCUGAGGGUCUACCAGGGCAUCAAGAAGAGGCUGCGUCCGCCCACAUGCUGGGGGCUGACUGUGAUUUAUGAAAAUGAGAAACCUGAAAAGCACGAGAGGCAGCAAUGGUACCUGUGCUGUGACACGCAGAGCGAGAUGAGGGAGUGGUUUGCCACCUUUCUGAGCAUCCAGCACGAGGGCAGCGUGUGGCCGGCAGAGACCAUAAAGAUGCGGACGAGCCGGACUGUGGCCCUGGACGCCAGGUUGGGUAACGUGUCCCUAAUCCCGCUGCGCGGCAGUGAGAACGAGAUGAGGAACAGCGUCGCUGCUUUCACUGCUGACCCACUUGCUGUGAGUCAAUCAACCAAUCAGGGCUGAGCGCACCACUGACGACGCAAUCGUUCAGCUCUGCCCAGCUCAAGCCCAGUUCGGCCCGAGAGAGGGAAGUGCUCUCAGCGGGGGGGAAAGCCCCUCGUCAGAACUCCUUGUGUCCCUGCUUGCAUGGGACUGAAAAUGGGCAGAGUUGACCGUUUGGUCGAGUGUUCAUUGUACCCCUCAAGUGGCCGGUGGCUUGUGUCCCAUCACAGGUUCUACAUCCCCCAGCCAGUUGACAUCGGGCACAAAGGGCACUCUGGGAUAUCGGGGAGUGAUUACUGCUGUUUUUGUUGGUGCCUUUUGAUUGUGGAGAAAUCUGUUGAAGUGGCUUAUUAUAUUUCGCUUAUCCUACUUAAAGGGCAUUCUCCAUUUUCUUUUUCAACCUGGGUGUUAUUUUUCUAGUAUUUUUUCAUUUUUCACAGUGGAGAUUUUUUUUAAAUCCGUGUCACCAGCUUGACAUCGGCAUCUGUGGGGCAUAUCAAGAUAUAGUUUCAGUUUACCUGAAGUCCAGUUUAUCUAAACCUCGUAUUUGGAAGUGAAAACUAAUGUGAAAGUUCAAAUGUAUUUAAUGAAGUUAAAGGUAAACAUAUUCUGUUGCAUGCUAUUUCAAUUUACAUGCCUAUUCUGUGCACAGGCAUAUUUACAGUGGGAUGUGGCUCGCUUUUAGAAGCUAACAUCCAAAUCCUAAAUCUAUUGCAAUGGCUGAUUACUCAAAAUAGGUAGAAUAAUUAUAAGUUGUGUCAAUUCUGAAAGUAGUAAUGGCAUGCAACAGAAUAUGAAAUUUAAACUUUCACUUCCAAAUUAGAGGUUUAUAUGAAUUUAACCUAUUUAUGGAUAUGCCUCAAAGAUGGCAUUGUGAAGCUAGUGACAUGGAGAAAUAAACAUCUUCAAUAAGGUGCAUUCAGGUGCAUAAAAUACUACUAGAACCCACAGAAGUUACGGAAAAUAAUACGCAGGUUGGAAAAAUUGUUCUUUGGGCUCUUCUCUGGUCAGCAGCUUAAAUGAUUUUACUCAUGUGUGUAUGUAUUUGUAAAAGAAUAUACCUGAAGAAGGUGCCUACAUCUGUGCAUGUGUGCAGUCAUAGUGCAUACUGUAUACGGUUGUGGCUAGUGUGUAUACAGCUUUGUGUAUAUUUUGUCCUGGGUAAGUAAUUUCAUGGAUAAGUAUGCAUCUAUCAAUAUGUCACCAAGACGUGCACAUUGUUUUACUUCUUAUUACUUUUUACAUUACAUUACAAAGAAUUUAGCAGAUUCUCUUAUCCAGAGUGACGUACAACGAAGUGCAGAUCGAACACAGGAACAAGUGGGAAGAGGACCCUAGAGGACUUUGUGUUCUUGUUUUAUUUUUGAAAUGUUACCAUACCUACAGUAAAUGAUUUUGCUCAGUUCCACCAAUGGCAUAUAUCUGCUCAGUGUUGUCACUAAAAAUGCACACAUUCUGUUUUCCAGCUUUUCAGGGAUGUAUGAUAGUACAGCCUGACAUUAAGGGCAGUGACCAGCAGAGGGCAGCCUUGCGCAGGACGGCUAUGUGAAGGCCAAGACCCAUUUCUUCGUAGAACAUUCCAGAACCUCCUGAUCACAAGGACUGUAUGAACAGACUAGUCUUGUGGUGCUGCGCACACACCUCCCCCUAUAACCCAGUGGGAGCAGAGACGUGGGACUGCCACCGACAGGGCUGAGGCUCGGAGCUGUUUCCUCCCGUGGUCUGUCGGGUCCAGGGCGAGCCUGACCAUGUGGCUGGGGAAUGGACGUCUGUAGAAUCCCCUUCCUCCAUUCCCCUGCCCAUUUUCUCCUUCACACGUAUCCCAUGAGGACUUCUAGAUCGGUGCCUUCCCACUAGCUCAGGUGGACAUGCCCCCCACCCUAUACCAUCCUCUGUCAUUGACAGACUGUACCAUACCUGUUGCCUAACUCUGUAACUGAAAAUAUGAGCAUCUCUGCCUGUGGACCUUACUGGAGCCAGUUUGUUGAGCUGAAAACCUGCCCCGCACUUGAUUGUCAGGGGUUUAAUCGGGGACUGACCGUUUACUGUCGGACUUUGUAAAGGACUCUUGUAUCUGUGCUGAGCUGAAUUUACAUUCGGCUGCCUUUAAGAUUAUUAGUCGGGCCAGACUUGUAACAUUUCAGACCAUUCCAAUUAAGGUUAUGAAUUGCAGUAUUUUAAGAGACUUGGCAGUGUUUUCUAAUGGUAAGUAAUGUUUAUAGGUUUUGCUGUAAUUAAUUAAAUAAACACUUGGUUGACUCGGUAGAAGAGUUAACUGCUUCAGUA